rnacentral:rRNA from 1 species
AGUGAACGCUGGCGGUAGGCCUAACACAUGCAAGUCGAACGGCAGCACAGUAAGAGCUUGCUCUUACGGGUGGCGAGUGGCGGACGGGUGAGGAAUACAUCGGAAUCUACUUUUUCGUGGGGGAUAACGUAGGGAAACUUACGCUAAUACCGCAUACGACCUACGGGUGAAAGCAGGGGAUCUUCGGACCUUGCGCGAUUGAAUGAGCCGAUGUCGGAUUAGCUAGUUGGCGGGGUAAAGGCCCACCAAGGCGACGAUCCGUAGCUGGUCUGAGAGGAUGAUCAGCCACACUGGAACUGGGACACGGUCCAGACUCCUACGGGAGGCAGCAGUGGGGAAUAUUGGACAAUGGGCGGAAGCCUGAUCCAGCCAUACCGCGUGGGUGGAGAAGGCCUUCGGGUUGUAAAGCCCUUUUGUUGGGAAAGAAAAGCAGCAGGUUAAUACCCCGCUGUUCUGACGGUACCCAAAGAAUAAGCACCGGCUAACUUCGUG